GCACGCCUAACACAUGCAAGUCGAGCGCUACCUUCGGGUGGAGCGGCGGACGGGUGAGUAACGCGUAGGAAUCUGCCGAGUAGUGGGGGAUAGCCCAGAGAAAUUUGGAUUAAUACCGCAUACGCCCUACGGGGGAAAGGAGGGGAUCUUCGGACCUUUCGCUAUUCGAUGAGCCUGCGUGAGAUUAGCUUGUUGGUGAGGUAAAGGCUCACCAAGGCGACGAUCUCUAGCUGGUCUGAGAGGAUGAUC
rnacentral:rRNA from 1 species